rnacentral:rRNA from 1 species
GCAGACGGGUGAGUAACGCGUGGGAAUCUACCCAUCUCUACGGAACAACUCCGGGAAACUGGAGCUAAUACCGUAUACGUCCUUUUGGAGAAAGAUUUAUCGGAGAUGGAUGAGCCCGCGUUGGAUUAGCUAGUUGGUGGGGUAAUGGCCUACCAAGGCGACGAUCCAUAGCUGGUCUGAGAGGAUGAUCAGCCACACUGGGACUGAGACACGGCCCAGACUCCUACGGGAGGCAGCAGUGGGGAAUAUUGGACAAUGGGCGAAAGCCUGAUCCAGCCAUGCCGCGUGAGUGAUGAAGGCCCUAGGGUUGUAAAGCUCUUUCAACGGUGAAGAUAAUGACGGUAACCGUAGAAGAAGCCCCGGCUAACUUCGUGCCAGCAGCCGCGGUAAUACGAAGGGGGCUAGCGUUGUUCGGAAUUACUGGGCGUAAAGCGCACGUAGGCGGAUACUUAAGUCAGGGGUGAAAUCCCGGGGCUCAACCCCGGAACUGCCUUUGAUACUGGGUAUCUGGAGUCCGGAAGAGGUGAGUGGAAUUCCGAGUGUAGAGGUGAAAUUCGUAGAUAUUCGGAGGAACACCAGUGGCGAAGGCGGCUCACUGGUCCGGUACUGACGCUGAGGUGCAAAAGCGUGGGGAGCAAACAGGAUUAAAUACCCU